rnacentral:rRNA from 1 species
UACGUAGGGGGCAAGCGUUGUCCGGAUUUAUUGGGCGUAAAGAGCGUGUAGGCGGCCAGACAAGUCUGCUGUGAAAACUCGAGGCUCAACCUCGAGACGUCGGCGGAAACCAUCUGGCUAGAGUCCGGAAGAGGAGAGUGGAAUUCCGUGGUGUAGCGGUGAAAUGCGCAGAUAUCAGGAAGAACACCCGUGGCGAAGGCGGCUCUCUGGGACGGUACUGACGCUGAGACGCGAAAGCGUGGGGAGCGAACAGG